UGAAUACGAGAUGCUACGGCGUCGAAGCAGUGUAUGUCAGACUUCCAAGAAAAGCUCGCAAUGUCAUAAAUAAAGAAUGCCUGUACCAUAACCGACACAGGUGGGUAGGUAGAGUAUACUAAGGGGCGCGAGAUAACUCUCUCUAAGGAACUCGGCAAAAUAACUCCGUAACUUCGGGAGAAGGAGUGCCUUCUUUAAGAAGGUUGCAAUAACAAGAUCCAAGCAACUGUAUAUCAAAAACACAGGUCUCCGCUAAGUCGUAAGACGAUGUAUGGGGGCUGACGCCUGCCCAGUGCCAGAAGGUUAAAGAAGCUGGUUAGCAAUAGCGAAGCUGGUGACUGAAGCCCUGGUGAACGGCGGCCGUAACGAUAACGGUCCUAAGGUAGCGAAAUUCCUUGUCGGGUAAGUUCCGACCCGCACGAAAGGCGUAAUGAUUUGGAUACUGUCUCGGAGAGGGACUCGGUGAAAUAGACUUGUCUGUGAAGAUGCGGACUACCUGCACCAGGACAGAAAGACCCUAUGAAGCUUUACUGUAACCUGAAAUUGAAAUUGACUUUAUUUGCGCAGUAUAGGUGGGAGGCGUUGAAAGUAAUCUUGCGGGAUUAGUGGAGCCGUCAGUGAGAUACCACUCCUAUAAUGUUAGAUUUCUAACUUUGGAUCAUGAUCUGGUCAAAGAACAGUUUCAGGCGGGCAGUUUGACUGGGGCGGUCGCCUCCCAAAUGGUAACGGAGGCGUACAAAGGUUUCCUCUGAACGGGUAGAAAUCGUAUCUAGAGUGUAAAGGCAUAAGGAAGCUUGACUGUGAGACCUACAAGUCGAGCAGGGACGAAAGUCGGUCUUAGUGAUCUGACGGUGCUGAGUGGAAAGGCCGUCACUCAACGGAUAAAAGUUACUCUAGGAUAACAGGCUGAUCUCCCCCAAGAGUUCACAUCGACGGGGAGGCUUGGCACCUCGAUGUCGGCUCAUCGCAUCCUGGGGCGGUAGUACGUCCCAAGGGUUGGGCUGUUCGCCCAUGAAAGCGGUACGCGAGCUGGGUUCAGAACGUCGUGAGACAGUUCGGUCCAUAUCCGGUGUAGGCGUUAGAAUAUUGAGAGGAGCCUUCUCUAGUACGAGAGGACCGAGAAGGACAUACCUCUGGUGUACCAGUUAUCGUGCCAACGGUAAACGCUGGGUAGCUAUGUAUGGAGAGGAUAACCGCUGAAAGCAUCUAAGUGGGAAGCCCACCUCAAGAUGAGUAUUCCC
rnacentral:rRNA from 1 species